rnacentral:rRNA from 1 species
AGCUCCGAUAGCGUAUAUUAAAGUUGUUGCAGUUAAAAAGCUCGUAGUUGAACUUCUAAAGGUGGAACACGCUUCAUGGCUGUUGUGAUACCUUUAUCCGCUUUGAUUUAGCAAUACGGGCUUUGUUGACCGAUUGUGUAAUCAAGCAAUUUACUUUGAAAAAAUUAGAGUGUUUCAAGCAGGCGAUUUGCUGGAAUACAUUAGCAUGGAAUAAUAGAACACGACCUCUGAGGCAUUUUAUUGGUAUAUGACUGGAGGUAAUGAUUAACAGGGACAGUUGGGGGCAUUAGUAUUGCAUUGUCAGAGGUGAAAUUCAUUGAUUAGUGCAAGACUAACUUAUGCGAAAGCAUUUG